AUAAAGCGAACCCACGCGAGAGCGCGGGCCGCAUACCACGGUAGCGCGUCGUUCGAAGUUUAAAGUUGACAAUUCUACGUAUAAAAAUCUUUCGAUUCUAAAUAAACGCAUGUCCAUCUACGUUCCAACGAAAAAUUUCUACGAUAUUCGAUUACAUCGUUCCAUCUUAAAGCGCGAUGCGCAGUAAACUCGAGGAGAUCGAGCCGCAUGGCGACAUCGUGUAUAACCAGUGAAAGACACGCAAUAUUUAUCCCGCUAUAUGUUUAUGUUUAUUCACCUUUGUGGUUAUGGAAACAGUGAUCAGAGUUUAUAUAGUGGAUAUAUGCCGUAGACUCGAUUACUAGUGAAUAUUCCCCACUCAGUGCUUCAACAAAGAUCAAAAAUCGACCAGUCGACCAUUUUUUUCUCGAUCCACGCCGCAUACCCGGUUAAAAUCAUUGCGGUUAUGCGAAUACCAGUCGAGAAUCACUGUCGAUGAAUUUAUCACUGCUCAAGAUCGAUAAGUAGAUAAGAAUUGAUCGGGAAUAUCCACGAAUUAAAAACAAUCAUGGCAUUAGCGAGGAUCAAGAGUUUCAUAGAUACUGGUUUCAAGACUGUGUCCACUCCGUUGGAUCGCACGGUGAAUCUGGAGCCGGAAGUAGGCAUUAAAAUCGUUCAUUCGAUCAACGAGAAAGCUCUGCACGUGACGGUACUUGGUGCUCGUCACUUGCCGCAGAAUUUCGGCUUUACUCGUGUCAACAGCUACGUAGUCAAGGUGAAGUUAAUACCAGGAAAGGAAAAGUUCGAGACAACGUCGAAAAACGAGUCGUGGCCGCAAUGGAACGAGGAAUUUACGUUUCACUUGCGAAAAGAAACAAAACAGAAAUUUGGUAAAACGAAAGUGAUCGAAGAGGAGAUAAGCGGUUCCAGAUUUAUCGUCGCGACUUUAUACGCGAUUCUCGAGGAUAAACCAUUAAUAGCGACUGAGAAGAAGGAAUCCGAGAAAGAGAAAACGUCGCCCACUAAAGAAUCCCCUAAGAAGAGCAACAAGAAAAAAGAUGGUCAAGGUGCUUCCACGGAGAAUCAGGAGCCAACGAAGAACAAAUUACUCAGUCAAUUUUUCGGCAAGGGAACCGAUAAAUCCGUGGAAACCGCAACUCCAGAAAGAAAAUUGUUUGAUAAGAGGCGAACUGUAGGCGCCACAACGAUUUCCUUGGAUCCGAAGAACUUCACUUCGAAGCCACCCAAAGCUAAACAUCCAAGCGACGUAUCGACAGGAGAUAUGUGGAGACCAUUGCGACCGAUUGCUAGUGGUAUUUCUGGAGCUGAAGAAAGAAAGGAAAAUAAGAAAGGCCAAGUCGAGUUGUCACUGUGCCAAGAAAAGGCCGAUAAGAAAGAGGAGGGUAGCGAAAAACUGAUACUGUCCCUGCAUCGUCUGAGAUGCUCGUUACAAACGAUGCACGAGCAUGAAGCCUUGAAAGGACAGAUGUAUAUUAAGAUGUCCGUGGUAGAUGACGGUAGAGUGACUCAUUUUUGGAAAAGCGAUCGUUUUGCGCCAUGUGUGUCGAUGAAAUUUUCGCCGGAAAUGGCUAGAGUGAUUGCGGAUAAUCCGUAUCAGGGAGCAUUGAAGGAUGUUAGCUUCGUUGUUAAAUUCGUCUCGAAGAAUAAAUUAGGAAAGAAAACAACUGUUGGUCAUUUUGUGAUCGGACCAGAUGUAGGAGGAACUUACGGCGAACAAUGGAAACAGGCUUUAGCGAAAUCAGGACAACAAAUAACGAAAUGGCAGUCAUUCGAGUGAGAAUGAGAGAAAAUAGAUCAAUAAACUUAUCGAGCAUUCUUGGCUCGACUUUUACUCAUAGUUUUCCUUCGACCAUAAACCUACUUUCAACCUGUGCGAAUAUUAUGAAUAUUUGAGCACAUGGUCGAUAGUGCCGUUCCAAAGAAUACUUAGGCAAACAUCUGUGGAUACAAAAGGUUAUUAGAGAGUCCGAGUUAGAAGUUAUCUCUGAAAGAAGAAAGUAAAUUUUUGUGCCAGAUCGCGACCAAGUAAUUUUUAGCUGUUAAGUAAGUUACGAUAUAAUGCAGAUGUAACAAAGCGCUUUUGUUCUAUUUACUACUAAAUUGAUCUUCAAUUUUACAUUAAGAUAGAUCAUUAAAUCAAUGGAAAGUAUUUUUUUCGUCAUGUAUAAAAUAAAGUAUUUUAUAUUAUAAUAAUACUCGAUGUUACUUUUAAUGAUAAUAACAAUAUGUAUUUGCUCAUCUUUUCAAUUAUAAUUUUCUUUGAUCAUAUUAUAUCGUAAAUAAUUAAAAAUAUUAAAGUAACGUUUAUUAAGAACUAUUUAUAUUAUUGUAAUUAAUUGUACAUGUAUUUUGUAACAAAAAUUAAUUAUAUAAUUCAACAAAUAUUGUUAGAAUCAAUAUACAAUCACACCAAAAAAUCUGUAUGUACAAUAUAAUGUUUUUGUAUAACAGAAAUAUAUUUUAAUACACCUGUUAUAUAAAG
rnacentral:misc_RNA from 1 species